AGAGUGGUCCUUUAAGGAUUGGCCACUACCACUCCAAGGUCUUUUCACUUACUGAAUUCCAAUUAAGUGAACAAAUUUGCAAUCACUAUUAUGAGCUUCAUUAAAAUGAGUGAAGACAGAAUGACUAAGGACCCCAUUUUGUAUGUUCUUUAAGUGUUCACUAAUUCUAACCUUUAAGGGUCUUGUGGUUGUCACAGUGUACUGUAG